UACAGAGGUCUCAAGCGUUGUUCGGAUUCAUUGGGCGUAAAGGGCGCGUAGGCGGCGAGGUAAGUCGGGUGUGAAAUCUCAGAGCUCAACUCUGAAACUGCACUCGAUACUGCUUUGCUAGAGGACUGGAGAGGAGAUUGGAAUUCACGGUGUAGCAGUGAAAUGCGUAGAGAUCGUGAGGAAGACCAGUGGCGAAGGCGGAUCCCUGGACAGUUCCUGACGCUGAGGCGCGAAGGCCAGGGGAGCAAACGGG
rnacentral:rRNA from 1 species